AUGACGUCAUCCUCCAAUCAGAUGAUGGAGAUAUAUAUGAAGUCAUCCUCCAAUCAGAUGAUGGAGAUAUAUAUGACGUCAUCCUCCAAUCAGAUGAUGGAGAUAUAUAUGACGUCAUCCUCCAAUCAGAUGAUGGAGAUAUAUAUGACGUCAUCCUCCAAUCAGAUGAUGGAGAUAUAUAUGACGUCAUCCUCCAAUCAGAUGAUGGAGAUACGCGGAACUAUUCAACGCUGUCACGAAACACUUCGUCAAACAUUUGCCUUCGCUCUUAAAACCUGGUAUUUUUUUCUCCUUCCACUUUAUCUGUUCAGGUAUUUUUCCAUUUAGCUUUAGACAUUUUGUUCACAAGACUAACUACAGGCAGGAAAAAGGUUAGCGUGUUGGCUACAAAUCAUUCAUCUGGCAAGACAUUAGAAUAAUCAGAAGGCAUAGACAAAAGUACAUAACAAUCAUCGACCACAUUGUCCAUCUCUACAGAGCACAUUAUCCAUCUCUACAGAGCACAUUAUCCAUCUCUAUAGAACACAUUAUCCAUCUCUACAGAGCACAUUAUCCAUCUCUAUAGAACACAUUAUCCAUCUCUACAGAGCACAUUAUCCAUCUCUACAGAGCACAUUAUCCAUCUCUACAGAGCACAUUAUCCAUCUCUAUAGAACACAUUAUCCAUCUCUACAGAGCACAUUAUCCAUCUCUACAGAGCACAUUAUCCAUCUCUACAGAGCACAUUAUCCAUCUCUAUAGAGCACAUUAUCCAUCUCUACAGAGCACAUUAUCCAUCUCUAUAGAGCACAUUAUCCAUCUCUAUAGAGCACAUUAUCCAUCUCUACAGAGCACAUUAUCCAUCUCUAUAGAACACAUUAUCCAUCUCUACAGAGCACAUUAUCCAUCUCUAUAGAACACAUUAUCCAUCUCUACAGAACACAUUAUCCAGCUCUAUAGUAGCUGUGUCCAGCUGUCAUCUGUACAGCCGUUUCCAACACACCUAGUCUGUGUCCAAAUGGCACCCUAUUCUCUACGUAGUGCACUACUUUUGAAGAGGGCCAAUAGGGCUCUGGUCUAAAGUAGUGCACUAUGUAGGGAAUAUGGAGCCAUUUUGGAUGCUCCGCAACAACCCCAUGAUGGUAUUGAGGACAUUCACUACAGUAUCUAUUCUCUUCUGAUUCAAAACCAACCAACCAGCGUUCCAGUUUGCUUCAAACAAAGAAGAAGGGUGAACCACCCCACCCAACCCAGGCACAACCCAGGCUUAGGCACAACCCAGGCUCAGAUACAGCUGAUGUUCACAUACCCCAGCCAACCCAGGCUCAGGUACAACCCGGUCUCAGGUACAACCCGGUCUCAGGUACAACCCAGUCUCAGGUACAACCAGGUCUCAGGUACAACCCAGGCUCAGAUACAGCUGAUGUUCACAUACCCCAGACAACACAGUCUCAGGUACAACCCAGUCUCAGGUACAACCCAGUCUCAGGUACAACCCAGUCUCAGGUACAACCCAGGCUCAGGUACAACCCAGUCUCAGGUACAACCCAGUCUCAGGUACAACCCAGGCUCAGGUACAACCCAGUCUCAGGUACAACCCAGUCUCAGGUACAACCCAGGCUCAGGUACAACCCAGUCUCAGGUACAACCCAGGCUCAGGUACAACCCGGUCUCAGGUACAACCCGGUCUCAGGUACAACCCAGUCUCAGGUACAACCCGGUCUCAGGUACAACCCAGUCUCAGGUACAACCCAGUCUCAGGUACAACCCAGUCUCAGGUACAACCCAGGCUCAGACACAGCUGAUGUUCACAUAUUACCUUGUUUUUAUUUCCCCUGUUGUCUGUCCUCCUCAGAAGGAGAGAUUGAGUUUCACAGACAAAGUACCCAACCUCUGGUUCUGGUAUGGAAUCAGCUUCAUCGUCACAGUAACUACAACUGUUAUUAUUAUUAUGAUUAUAUACCAGUUUCACUCUAUGUUGUUAUUGGCCUAUGGCAAAUAGGCUGUUUGGUGUUUAGCCUCGGACAUGCGUCCUAAAAGGCACCCUAUUCCCUAUAUACAGUGCACUACUUUUGACCCGGGCCUGUAUAUAGUGUACUAGUGUCUGGGCCCUUGUAGUGCACUACAUAGGGAAUAGGGUGCCAUUUGGGACAUACCUUGGUUAUUGUACUGGGCACAAGAUACAGAAAGACAACGGUAUCUGGUGUAGUAGUUGUUGUUAGUGAAGCUGGCUGCCGUGGCUGGACAGGAGCACCCGGUGGAACAACAGCUAGCCCACCGUUGCUGUUCUCCUCUUGUUACCCUUGAUGUGGGUCGUGGCUUUGGGGUGGACGUAUUGGGGAGUCUUAAAUGUUUCCUCAGCUAGUCUCUACCUGGGUGAAAGUUUGUGACCAUGUACUGUGUAUUCAUGAUCAAUGUAAUAUAAAAUAUAUAAUAUA
ensembl:lncRNA